rnacentral:misc_RNA from 1 species
GCUACUACCGAUUGAAUGGUUUAGUGAGGACUCCUGAUUGGCGCCGCCGCCCCGGCAACGGAGCAGCGGACUGCCGAAAAGUUGUUCAAACUUGAUCAUUUAGAGGAAGUAAAAGUCGUAACAAGGUUUCCGUAGGUGAACCUGCAGAAGGAUCAUUACCGAUCGUUGUCCAAGCCAAACCACUUGGUCACACCGCGAACGCGUCCGAAAGGUUGGAGGUCGUCCUUGUGGAUGUUGAGGAAGGACUGAAAUGACGAGUCCGUCGCUCCGGCGGCGUUCUCGCGGCCUCCACUUUUUUUUUCUUGCGAACCGCAACCCAAAGUUCAGAGAGAGACAAAACGUUGUCGAGAGAAACGAAAAAAAGUACAAAACUUUUAACGGUGGAUCUCUUGGCUCGUGCAUCGAUGAAGAACGCAGCCAGGUGCGAUAAGUAGGUGAACCUGCAGAAGGAUCA